rnacentral:SRP_RNA from 2 species
GCUGGGCGUGGUGGUGCACGCCUGUAAUCCCAGCUACUUGGGAAGCUGAGGCAGAAGAAUCGCUUGAACCUGGGAAGUGGAGGUUGCAGUGAGCCAAGAUUACACCACUGCACUCCAGCCUGGGUGACAGAGCGGGAUUCUGUCUCAA